CGGGAAAAGCUCAAAUUUAAAAUCUGGCGGCUUUGGUCGUCCGAGUUGUAUUCUAGAGAAGUGUUUUCCGCGUUGGACCGUGUAUAAGUCUCUUGGAAUAGAGCGUCAUAGAGGGUGAGAAUCCCGUCUUUGACACGGACUACCAAUGCUUUGUGAUACACUCUC
rnacentral:rRNA from 1 species